GUGUGCCUACGGGGCGCAGCAGUGGGGAAUAUUGCACAAUGGGGGAAACCCUGAUGCAGCGACGCCGCGUGAGCGAAGAAGUAUUUCGGUAUGUAAAGCUCUAUCAGCAGGGAAGAAAAUGACGGUACCUGACUAAGAAGCCCCGGCUAAAUACGUGCCAGCAGCCGCGGUAAUACGUAUGGGGCAAGCGUUAUCCGGAUUUACUGGGUGUAAAGGGAGUGCAGGCGGCUUGGCAAGUCUGAUGUGAAAGGCUGGGGCUCAACCCCAGGACUGCAUUGGAAACUGUUAGGCUGGAGUGUCGGCGG
rnacentral:rRNA from 1 species